UGAGUGGUGUUUGGUUUGUUACGGGUGGUUGGCUCUUUGCUUCCGCAACAACUUCUACCUGGCAUACCUCUUCAGUCUUGUGUCAAUGCUUGUAUUGCAUUGAAUGCACGGUGGGUUUCUUGUGUUGCAUGCCUAAUUUAAUGGUAUUGCUUGAUGAAUUGGUUUUCCUUUCGUUUUGCAUUGCCUAUGCGAUGUGAGAUGAACCUUGAAGCAGCCCCUGUGAUCCACUGAUUUGAUGCAUAUGCAUUGAUUUUGUGGCCCAUUGAGUGUUGCUCGGUCUCAUGGAUAUGGAACCUGGUGUGGGCAUGGAAUCUUAAUGGUUCCUUGUUUGCCCAAGUUUAGCUUUUCUAAAACGAUUGUCUAUCAUGUGUUAACAUGGUAGACUACUUCGAAUAUGAAUGCUACC
rnacentral:misc_RNA from 1 species